CAGAUCCAGGCAACAAUACAACAUAUAUCAGUGGAAGCAGUACAGCAAAUGCUUCAUCUUGAGUUCUUGAUAUUAAGGUGAGACAAAAACUUAUAAUAUAAGGGAAGGGCAUUAAGAAUUAUAGAUCAUAUUUAGCAUAACAUGAUGGAGACACAGCCCAGUUUAUUACCAUAUAUAUCAAGCAAGCAUUAGUAUUAACUUGGAUGCAAAUGCCAACUACAAUUGGUUAUACAUUACUAAUAGGAUGAACACAUAAGUAAGAAAGAAGGCUCAAGAUUCAAAAUACGUGCUUUCAUGCGCUUUGAAUCUGAUAUAUGAAGAUAGCUCAACUGCAUUGUCACUCUUUCUUCUCUUCCUUCUUCUCUUCCUUGGGAGCUUCAACCUUCUUCUCUGCCUUUGCUGCUUCCUUGGCUGUAGCCUGCACCUUGGCUUUGCCCUUCUUUGGCUUCAUGAAGCAGAAGCAAGAGCAGCAAGGACACUGAAAUAAGAACUUCAUAGCUUCACCUUCUUUGCUCUCAAGUAGCUAGUCCUGAGAAUUAUUUCUCAUGUAUAGCAAAUGUUGAACUUCACCUUCCUUUUCUAUCUACUUCCUUAUCUAACUAUUUAUGUUGUGUGCUUUAUCAAAACAAAUAUAAAAAUGUAACAAUACACACUGGAUUCCACUUCAAUCACUAUCAACAAGGAAGAUGCCUGCCUAAUAAUGCCAGAGCUAGCAGUGGGACUAGGGUCUGUGGGGUUAGCCAUGGAUCCAUGAUCAACAUAAGUUACAUAAUGCAGCUAACAGUCUAAUACUAAUAGGAACUGUUCUUGAUUGCUUUUUCUAACUCCACAGAUUCAUGAUCCCUGUUAGGAAAUAAAAGCACAAUAUAUUUCAAUGUCUCAUACUAGGUUGAUCAAACUGACUUUAGUGGAUAUGAUACUGAGUUUUGUGAAUCCAUGAAUUUGACUGUUUACAAACCUUCAAAACUUGGGUACUGGUAUAUACACAGCUGAAUCAAUUAGUUGAAUGAUCAAAACACCUCAAGUAUGGGUCUAAAUUUAUUCCCAGAAUGAAGAAACAAGAAUAAAGUAUAAGUGGAAAUAUUCUAUCACCAUUAUGUUACCUUUAACUUAUUCAACCCUGGGAAAAAGUUUGGCAAACACAUAAUGCGAACCUCAUGGUGAUUUUACGUUAGAGUUUGACUUUGGAUCCAUUAUGCCUCCAUUGCCUUCGAGUAAAGGUGAGGGAGCCAUGUGAUUGUGAAUCACUAGAGGAGAGAAUGCAUUUGAUUGAUCAAUUCAGUUGUCAUUAUCACUACCUGAUGGCCACCUAUCUGCAACCAUGUUUUGGCUCCAUGGGGUCAGAA
rnacentral:lncRNA from 1 species